rnacentral:sRNA from 1 species
UCGUCGACCUGCUGCGGACAGAUGAAAUGGAUGUGCGUGUCGAAGCCGCCGGCGGUGAGGAUUUUUCCUUCGCCCGCGAUCACCUCGGUGCCUGGACCGAUGAUGAUGGUCACGCCCGGCUGGAUAUCCGGAUUGCCGGCCUUGCCGAUCGAAUGGAUGUGGCCGUCUUUCAAACCGACAUCGGCUUUGACGAUGCCCCAAUGAUCGACGAUCAGCGCGUUGGUGAUCACGGUGUCGACCGCGCCGCGCUUGUUGGUGAUCUGCGACUGGCCCAUGCCGUCGCGG